rnacentral:rRNA from 1 species
GACGAACGCUGGCGGCGUGCUUAACACAUGCAAGUCGAACGGAAAGGCCUGCUUUCCCUUGUGGAUUGCGGUACUCGAGUGGCGAACGGGUGAGUAACACGUGAGUUAUCUGCCCCCAACUUGGGUAUAAGCCUGGGAAACUGGGUCUAAUUCCCGAUAGGACUGCAGGGUGGUGCCUGUGGUGGAAAACGAUUUUCUAGUGGUUGGGGAUGAGCUCGCGGCCUAUCAGCUUGUUGGUGGGGUAAUGGCCUACCAAGGCGGCGACGGGUAGCCGGCCUGAGAGGGUGGACGGCCACAUUGGGACUGAGAUACGGCCCAGACUCCUACGGGAGGCAGCAGUGGGGAAUAUUGCACAAUGGGCGGAAGCCUGAUGCAGCGACGCCGCGUGGGGGAUGACGGCCUUCGGGUUGUAAACUCCUUUCGACCGCGAGGAAGCCACCUGGUUGGAAGGGUGGUGACGGUAGUGGUAGAAGAAGCACCGGCUAACUACGUG